CAAAAAUGACUUUCAGCACCAUAUUGAUCUGGACGCUGGCAGUAUUAUGUCGAGAAUCUGUUGGUCAGGUGACAGUGACUCAAACUCCCUCAGAGCUGCUCUCUCAAACUGGACAAUCAGUCACUGUGACCUGUAAAACUAGCAGAGAUCCAGGCUGUUGCUGUAAUAGCAAACAAUGUCUCAGCUGGUACUUACAGAAACCUGGAGAAGCUCCUAAACUCCUGAUUUAUGGAAUAAGCACCCUCCAGUCAGGAACUCCAUCUAGAUUCAGUGGCAGUGGAUCUAACAGUGAUUUCACUCUGACCAUCAGUGGAGUCCAGACUGAAGAUGCUGGACAUUAUUACUGUCAGAGUUUCCAUGAAAUCAACAGUAAAUGGGUGUUCACACAGUGA